rnacentral:lncRNA from 1 species
UUUCCCCAAAAUCGAGUAACCUUAACUAAUACACAAUCAUAAACUAUCUAACACAUGACAAUACUAUUCUUCAACCAUACUUUUACAAAUUAGCUGCACAUUCUAUCCCAAGCUGAACUUGGCAUUUUUCUUUUCCUGUAACUGGCCGUAUUCGCCUUAUCUGUAAUGUUUUAUCAUGAUAUAGCAAGGGUGAGCAUGAAAGUUGCCCAUCAAGUUUUAAAAAAAACAAGGUAAAGAUAUAUCAUGAUUGAAAGAGUUUGAAUAAUAAGCUGGCUAUCCUUCACAAUGUAAUUGUGAAUUAGCAUGAACAAAAUUUCAAAGCUGAAUGAACAUUGAAAAUGAACAUAACAAUUAUAUCUGAACUGACUGGUAAUGAAGGUGAUCAGCCUUUCAUACCUGAUGAAUACAUGCAAUAUGUACAGAGUACAAUUCAUAAGCAUAUCUGUCUGAAACCACUCUUAAAA